rnacentral:lncRNA from 1 species
AGAGUACACAGUAACUCGGGGUUGUCAGCAGGCAUGCAUGUGUGAGCUGCUUUGGGAGCAGCCGGCCAGUCAUCACAAAGACUGGACUCAAACUCAGCAUUUACACCGUGAGUGCUCUCUGUCCGCUAGCUAUACACCCUGUCAAAGGGUCACCUUUGUUGUUCAUAAAGCCAGCCAUCUUUAGGAGCCCAGGUAGCCUUUGACUCACGAGGUGACUGUCUAGUGCAGGGCAGCUCUUUACAGUGUAAGGUUUGCUUGCCCUUGUUUGGCCAGGCUGGACCUCCAGUACGCCUUGCCCUUGCUUCAGUCUCCCAGGUAUAGGAUAAAACAUACAUUUUAAAAUCUGUUUCAUUUUUACUAUGAAGAAUUAGUAUCUCAGUGUAAUAAAUUAUGCUCUACUCCCCGCUUCAGCUUUAAAAGAUAUUUAUUUUAUGUGUAUGGGUAUUCUGCCUCCAUAUAUGUGUGUGCUCCACUUAUGUGUCUGCUGCCCAAGGAGGCCAGACAAGGGGGCAGCAACCCCUAGACCUGGAGUUAGAGAUGGGCUGAAGCAUCGUGAGGGGGCUGAGAAUUGAACCCAGUCCCUGCUUUUAAAAUAUGGGACAACACACUACUAAGGGCUGGUAAAUAAAUCAACCAUUAGAUAAGUAAUGCAAACCUCAAAACAGGAAUAAUUUCUUAAAUUUCUCAGCCAAUAGAAGUGUUCUCAAGAUGAACACCAAGUCAGUUAUAUUUGUGCUCGGGUUUGUUUGUUUGCUUGCUUGCUUGCUUGUUUUAAGCUCUGGAAAGAAUGGAAAUUACCUACGUUCUCAUCUUCUUUAGUUCAUGAGCUCAGACUGACGAUGUAAAAAUUAAUUCAACAGCUUCAAAUCAGCUAUUAGGGUGUUUACCCAGAGCAACUCGGACAUCCCAUCCGUCUUUGCAGGGCAACAUGAGCUCAUCCGAAUUGUUAUUCCAGUGGGACCCAGUGGAUUUGAGUGAAGCAGGGAGGACCCAGAAGAGGAAGGGCCAGGGUGAAAGAUUGGUGACUCGAGAUUAAAGAGGGGUAGGAAGUGGAAGGGCCUCCAUAUUAGAAAAAGUCUGAACUAAGGUUUCAUGGAAGACUCACACAGGAAAGACCUGGGAACCUGGCCACUGCGAGAAAGGCGCCCUGUGGUCCUAACAGUGCCUGAGAAUGGCGAGAAUGGAGCCUGGGCGCCCAGUGGUCUUAAUCCCCUGAUGGCAACUGAUAACCCCUUUUGUGUCCAGGCCAGGGUUUCCUGGCAGGAAGGAAGCCCUGGCCCCUUAGAGGGAUAAGGCCGGCCUGGGAGCAAGAGCUGUGGGGGUGUCUCAGUAUUACUUCCCAUUCCCAGGGAGGGGGCUCAGCUCCCUUUCCCAGGAGCGGAAGUCAGACAGGUCAAGCUAAUGUGGAAUUGAAACUCCUCAGGAGUCUGCCAGCCUGGUGAUGCCCGAGGAAGACCCUGAGGAGGGUGAGGGAUGGGGAAUAAAUUUGGAGCCACAGUGAGAUCAAGACCGGGAUUAGAGGGUAAUCUAUGAGAGAACUUUCUCUUCCCUUUCCCCUUAUUUUUGCCUUAUAUUUUUACUACGAUGGUUCAUAAUUUAGCUAGCAAGUUAAGACAAAAUAAAUGUGAGGUUUUUUUUUUUUUUCCCAAAGUCAACUUUGUGGCAGCAAUUGUGAUAAUGAGCCUCCGCAGCCCAGUGGGGUCCCUUUUUGGGUCUUUUUGGCAAACUAAAAGCAGCCAUAUUUCUGCCACAUGAAAAUAAUUGUAUAGUGUGCUAAUGUGCUUUCUCUUAAACACUCUUUAAUAUAUAUGUAUAUAUACAUAUAUGUAUUAUUGACAGAAUUCAACAAAUAACUUUAUUUACAUAUUUUAUUAUUACAUUUAUUGAUGUGUGGUUUAUUUAUUUAUUAUGCUGCAUUUACUGACCUAUUGUAUGUUAUGGUGAACAUGUAGGGUCAGAGGACAACUUGUGGGAGUUGUUUCUCUCAUUCAACAAUGGUGGAUCUCAGGGGUGAGACUCGGGUCACCGGGCUUGGCAGCAAGCAUGCUUGCUUGUUGAGCCAUCUCACAUUUUGGUGCCUCCCUUGGCUGUUUAUUAAGCAAGUACUCAAGAAGUGCCUUAAUGAUGGAGGUGGCCGUUCACCUUGUUACAGCUUCCAGAUCUCCCUGACCUGCAGAGAACCCAAGAUACCUGACCCUGACCUGGGCUGAGCAGAGUGGUCCUUUGAUUUGGUGUAUACUUCUGGAAAUACACUGUUUAAGGAGCAGAUUUCUCCCGAGUCUCCAUGUAAGAAGAGUUGAGAGCCUACAGCAUAGCAAGACCCCCUAGAAUCAUAUUGGUUGCUCUGCUCUGGAGAAAUCUACCCUGAGAUGUUAGUAAUGUUCUGCCCUGGUCCCCAGUCUCUCUCUGUGUAAGGCUAAUGGUACUACUUCCUUCACAAGGACAGUAUGAUGGCAGAAGUUUUGUGUGAUGUGUGCACACUUCUACAUACUGUCUGAAGCUGCUCUCGCUGCUGCUGCUGCUGUUAGGAGUUUGUUCACUGGAGACUCAGAACCAUAUGUCAAUGAUUUCAAAUUUCUCUGUUCUGUACAUUGAAAAUAAAUCUGCUCUCCUUUUGCUAGC